rnacentral:lncRNA from 1 species
CGCUUCAUAUCAUCUAACAUACUAUUUUUCAAUUCAUUCGAUUCCGUACUCUCCUUAUUCUCAGCCAAUACACCAAACUGAUAUCUCCAUGCUCUAUUAUUCUCUAAAGGCCUUACUAUUCCAUGCAUGCCCAAUUAUCAUGUCUCCCCAGAUUGUGAUGUUUACAAGAGCCAACCUAACCAGUCAAACCAUAUCACAGUGAAAAGUAACUCAAAAUCUAUAGCAUGUAAACUAUGAUACCAACAAAAUAGCACAAGCCUAUAGUAAAAUCUGGUGUUUUAUUUGGAAGUUUUUCUAUUGAGUCUUCAGAUCUCUUUUCAGUUUUUCAUUGCAUCAAAAACUUCAGAUUUUGUAAGGGAGAAACAGGAGCAAAAUGAAAUAAACACCGAAUCUUCACUUGUUUGAGGAGCCUCAAAGAUUCCACAUAGAAAUUUCACUCACCUUGGCCCAUUUUAAGUGACCUUAGUGUUGACUCUAACAAUGCCACCUACACUGAAAGGCAUCACAUUCCUCUAGUGACAAGUUAGCAACUGCACAAAGAGUAUACUUCACAAGGUAGCAAAUGAAACAUUUUCUACCUAAAUGUGAUCACUGAAACUAACCAGCUGAGUCAUAAUCUUGCAAUCAAUAUCUUUCAUUAGGAAUGAGCUUUACAGAGACAAUGCUAUAGACUAUUACAUUUGACCUCAUACUCAUGGUUCACCUGUAGUCAUUGUUGAAAAAAGUACUAAAAGCUAUAUAUCGAGCGUCAGAAACACGCUAUUAUUUUAUUUUAUUUUUCUGUCACAAGGAAAAGCAGUAUAGAAUUUGACUAUUUGGAGAGCCUAAUUGGCUCUCCAUUUUCAACAUAAAUAGCAAUUCCACUAAACAUAACUCUAAGUUAUGGGUGUAAUGUAGGCCGUGUCCACAUUUUUCGUGCAGAUUCGGGCUAGGGGCCGGGCCGGGCCGGAGCUACCUCAAAUUCGGGCCAGCCGUGCCGGGCUGGAGCUACCAACUCUCCUGCCCAGUACGGCCCUUCGGCCCGGAAGGCCCAGGUCGGGCCGAGCCGGGCCAGGCAGUGCUUCGAGUCGGCCCCUAAAAGGUUUUAUUUUUAAAAAAAUAUA